rnacentral:tRNA from 1 species
AGAGAUAUGGCUCAGUGGUAGAGAAUUUGCCUGGCAUGUGUGAGUCCCUGGGUUCAGUCCCCAGUAUCACAA